UAAAUCGCGUGUAUGCGCACGUUUAAUAAAAUAUUCCUCUGGAAAAUAAUAAAUGAAAUUUACGUAAAAUUUGUUCUCUCUAAUCUUUGAUUUCCAAAUUAUACGUAUAUAUAUAUAAAACUAAGAUUCGAAUUUGCAAAUAAACGAUACUGUAAGUACAUAUUUCUUACAAUGAAUAUAAACGAUGAAUCUAAAAGACAGAUAUUUUCUAUAUUAUAAUUUAAUACAACAUCAUUUGCAUUUGAAGCAUUACCGCGAUCAUGAUGUACAAACAUUGCAGCAAAAUCUUCCGAUAGACAAUUCAGAUAAAUUUAUAACUCGUAAUAUGAUUUCAUAGCACGAUAGUAAGAUAACGAGUGGAAAUCCUAGCCAUUAAUUUCUACAUUUUGACAAGAUAUUUAAUCGUUUAUAACCGAUGAUAUAUCGUGCAAUCGAUAUCGUAUGAUAAAUAACAGAUAAGUUGAAAUCGAUCGACUUCAUUUUUUGCGAAUCUUUCAAUUUCAAUAUAAAAACACGAUUGGCGUUCAAUUGGUUUAGAGAUUAAACGGUACGAUUUACCGUUUUCUCUCGUUUCUAGUUGCGGAACGACAGAGAUUCGACUUCGGUCGGAAUCUUGUCGGUUGGCUAAUAUUUUGGUUAGAAAACGGCCCGUGAAAAAAUAAGCAUCCGCUUGUAUUCGCGUUGCCAAAAGAGAGAAAGAGAGUUUCUCUACUCAUCUCGUGUUCUACGGAGUCGGUUUGAAUUCUCUGCGGUUUCGCCUCCGCCGCUUUGCCUCUUUAUCACCACUGUGUCAGAGGCCAUUAACCUCUUCCACUCGGUUUCUUCUUCUUCUCGCGCUGCCUCCGCCGCCUCCCGCCUCUCGCCUCCCGCCGACUAUCCUCGUCCCACCUAGACUUUGUUACUCUUUCUUUCCCGAUCGAGAGAUCGCUACUAUGGCGCUUAUCUCGCGUUUCUCCCCUCGUGCAUCCCGCGAUUCCUGGUCUGCCGCCGUGGUUACUUGGUCGCUUGGUUACUUGGUUACUCGGUUACCAAGGUGGCGAGGAAAAAGGACCCCGGUCCCCUCUGUGCGCGGAUUUCUGCGAAACUAAACGGCUAACGUCACCUUUUCGCCCACCGCGUCUCUCUCCCUCUCUCCCUCUCUCUCUUUUUCCCUUUGCUUUCUGCGCUUUUGUUCACUCCCCUCUGUUUCGACCAUCAAACGAACGCUCGCUCGUUAAUACUUCGGGGCUCGGAGCUCGGUUUAGUACCUAGAGAUGCCUCCACUUUGACUUGCGUUUUCCAUAUUCUUUAAAUAAUCCGUCGUUUGAAAAUUCUUUCCUUCUCUUCGAGCUUGCGAACCUUCGAAAACAUCGUUGUUUCGACCACCUUGCGAUCUAAAUCUAUCUCGAAUCCCUCGUUGUCUCGUUCCAUUCGAGAAAUAUUAAAUAAUUAGAGUAGUAUCUGUAAUCUUGUUUUUAUACAAGCUUAAUAAAAUAUUCCUGUCUGAUAGUUUAAACACUUUUUCGAAAAAAUACAUUUUCCAAAAAAUACAUAACUUUGAAAUUAUCCGUGAAGAAAAAAUACAACGUGUUACUUAAAACGAAACAAAUUGUAUUCGUACAAUCUUUUCCCAACGCUUGAUUCGAAUUACACUCGAGUAUCUCCGUGUCAAUAUGCUCGUCAUGCCACACGAAAAAUAAAGUAUCGAAACGUGUCUUCGGAGGCGUUCGAAACGUUUCAUUAUUUCGAACAGCACAUGUUUCUUCUUUUUUUUUCUUCUCCAGUAGAAAUACCGCUCGUGAUAACUUUUCAAAUCGAUCGAUAAUUUGGCCGUGAAAAGCAGACGAGUUUUUUACACGAAUCGAUCGCGAUCGUGCUGUAUUCAUCAUCAAUCGGGAAAAUUCAUAGGAUUUGCCUAGAAUAAGAGAGUCGAGUUUUACGUGUUUUUCCAAAAAAAGGGAAUUCGAUGUCAGUUAUUCAGAGAAAUUACAAUUUUGUGCGCAGAAUAUCGUAACUGUGUUAUAAUAAUUAUAAUUUGACGACGAAAAUGAAUCGAGAGAAAUAUCUUGCGUAUAUACGUUGAUAAGUUUCAUACGAAGAUGAUCUUUCUUUUGUUUGCAUGAUCUCAUUCAAUAUUUCAAAUAAUCAAUCCGAUAAUAUUGACAUUAUUACGAAAAAAAAAAAAAAAGAAAAAAGAAAAAUCAUUCGACAGACUAUGACAUCGUUCCUUAACGAUAGAUAAUUAUCGUCUCUUCUCUGAGGUUGAACGAGUGACGAGUUCGAUCGUAAUGGAGGAAAGUCGAGGCACGAGGGAUAAAUUUAUGAACUGGCCGAGACGUUGGGACAAGUGGCUGAAACUUGGACGCAUGGCAAGCCUAUUCAUAGGGGAACAUGUUUCCACCGAUGAGAUGAAGUCCAAGUGUUUCUUUCCUCCUUACUUCGUGUCAGUGUCUCUCAAAACGUUUAACGAAAUUAAAAUUUAUGUAGCUCGCCCAGCGAUUUCCGUUUGUAGGAGAAUUAUCUGAUUUUAACGAAUUGAAUUUUUUUUAAUUUCUUGGAUUUUGACAUUUUUCGUAUCAGAAGUGUGAUUUUGUUUAUGAUAUGUGUAUAUUAUACAAUAAUUUAAUGAUUUUAGGAUUGUGAAGGCAAUAAAAUGUCAGAGGAUUAGAUAUGCUUUUAUAAUAAUAUUUAUUACAUUGAAAAAUAUUAUCUUAAUUCAACAUUUGAAUUUUAUUCGUAUGAUAUUUCAACUUGGAAUAAAUUUAUCGGAUUUAUCGAUUAGAAUCGAAUAACUUAAUACUCUUGUUAAUGAAAAAUAAAAAUGUUUGAGAAAUACUGAUUUAUGCGAUCCAAAGAGAAAACGUUAAUGAAAAACUCGUACAUCAUCGUGGAUCGACUUCAACUUGUCUCCUUUCGACUUUUUGUUAGUCACAUAAUUUUAAAGAUAAGAGAAUCGGACAAUAUCUUUUUUUUUUUUAAAUUUUAUCACAUUGCGUGAAUCGAACAGAACUAGAACUUUUAUAUUAUCUUUCUCAUUUCUCAUUUAAAAGAUCGUAACAGGAAUAAUUAAGAGCAAGGUAAACUGAAAUUGAAACGAAUAUCAUAUUUUGAUUUGAUGAUCAUUUUUCAAACUUGUUAAACUCCGGUAUAAUUAACUUUUAAGGAUUAAUAAAAUUAUCGAUAAAAAAUAAUACAUUUCACGU